CGCGUGGAGGAUGAAGGUUUUCGGAUCGUAACUCCUGUUAAGUGGGAAGAAAAGCCGUAGUUUAAUAAACUGCGGACAUGACUGUACCAUUAAAGAAAGCACCGGCUAACCUCGUGCCAGCAGCCGCGGUAAUACGAGGGGUGCAAGCGUUAUUCGGAAUCAUUGGGCGUAAAGGGUGCGUAGACGGCAUAUUAAGUCAAUUGUUAAAUCUCCCGGCCUAACCGGGAAUAUGCGAUAGAUACUGAUUUGCUAGAGGAUGGAAGAGAGAAGCGGAAUUCUCGGAGUAGCGGUAAAAUGCGUAGAUCUCGAGAGGAACACCGAUGGCGAAGGCAGCUUCUUGGUCCAUUCCUGACGNUGAAGUACGAAAAGCGUGGGGAGCAAACAGGAUUAGAUACCUGGUAGUCCACGCUGUAACGAUGAUC
rnacentral:rRNA from 1 species